rnacentral:rRNA from 2 species
GACAGAUAAUUGGGGUGAAGUCGUAACAAGGUAGCCGUAUCGGAAGGUGCGGCUGGAUCACCUCCUUU